rnacentral:rRNA from 1 species
CACGUAGUUAGCCGUGGUUUGCUCCUUAGCUACCGUCAUUUUUCUUCACUAAGAACAGAAGUUUACAAUCCGAAAACCGUCUUCCUUCACGCGGCGUUGCUGCAUCAGGGUUUCCCCCAUUGUGCAAUAUUCCCCACUGCUGCCUCCCGUAGGAGUCUGGGCCGUGUCUCAGUCCCAAUGUGGCCGUUCAACCUCUCAGUCCGGCUAUGGAUCGUUGACUUGGUAGGCCGUUACCCCACCAACUAUCUAAUCCAACGCGAGCCCAUCCUUCGGCACCUCAGUUUUGGUAUUUCUAUCAUGCGGUAAAAAUACGUUAUGCGGUAUUACUGUCCGUUUCCAGACACUAUCCCCCUCCGAAGGGCAGGUUGCUCACGCGUUACUCACCCGUCCGCCACUCAGUCAUAUCAUUCUUCAUUCCGAAGAAAUCUGAAUUCAAGCUUCGUUCGACUUGCAUGUGUUAGGCACGCCGCCAGCGUUGUCCUAGCACGAGACUAACUACUACUCGUAGACGUACGUCGAACG